rnacentral:rRNA from 1 species
UACGUAGGCAGCAAGCGUUGUUCGGAAUUACUGGGCGUAAAGAGUGUGUAGGCGGUGCUCUAAGUUUGGUGUGAAAUCUCCCGGCUCAACUGGGAGGGUGCGCCGAAUACUGGCAUGCUCGAGUACAGGAGAGGAAAGCGGAAUUUCUGGUGUAGCGGUGAAAUGCGUAGAUAUCAGAAGGAACACCUGUGGUGUAGACGGCUUUCUGGACUGUAACUGACGCUGAGGAACGAAAGCGUGGGUAGCAAACAGG